CUAGCGGCAGGCUUAACACAUGCAAGUCGAGGGGCAGCGGGGAGGAAGCUUGCUUUCUCCGCCGGCGACCGGCGCACGGGUGAGUAACACGUAUGCAACCUGCCCCUGUCAGGGGGACAACCCGCCGAAAGGCGGGCUAAACCCGCGUACAUGCCACCGGGGCAUCCCGGAGGCAGGAAAGGCUUCGGCCGGACAGGGAUGGGCAUGCGGCGCAUUAGGCAGUAGGCGGGGUAACGGCCCACCUAACCGACGAUGCGUAGGGGUUCUGAGAGGAAGGUCCCCCACACUGGUACUGAGACACGGACCAGACUCCUACGGGAGGCAGCAGUGAGGAAUAUUGGUCAAUGGUCGGGAGACUGAACCAGCCAAGCCGCGUGAGGGAGGAAGGUACAGAGUAUCGUAAACCUCUUUUGUCAGGGAACAAAGACUGGGACGCGUCCCCGGAUGAGUGUACCUGAAGAAAAAGCAUCGGCUAACUCCGUGCCAGCAGCCGCGGUAAUACGGAGGAUGCGAGCGUUAUCCGGAUUUAUUGGGUUUAAAGGGUGCGCAGGCGGUCUGUUAAGUCAGCGGUCAAAGCCCGGGGCUCAACCCCGGCCCGCCGUUGAAACUGGCAGUCUCGAGUUGGAGAGAAGUAUGCGGAAUGCGCGGUGUAGCGGUGAAAUGCAUAGAUAUCGCGCAGAACUCCGAUUGCGAAGGCAGCAUGCCGGCUCCACACUGACGCUGAGGCACGAAAGCGUGGGUAUCGAACAGGAUUAGAUACCCUGGUAGUCCACGCAGUAAACGAUGAAUGCUGGCUGUCCGGGGGGACUGACCCCUGGGUGGCGAAGCGAAAGCGAUAAGCAUUCCACCUGGGGAGUACGCCGGCAACGGUGAAACUCAAAGGAAUUGACGGGGGCCCGCACAAGCGGAGGAACAUGUGGUUUAAUUCGAUGAUACGCGAGGAACCUUACCCGGGCUCAAACGGGGAGUGCCGCAGGCAGAGACGCCUGUUUCCCACGGGACACUCCCCGAGGUGCUGCAUGGUUGUCGUCAGCUCGUGCCGUGAGGUGUCGGCUUAAGUGCCAUAACGAGCGCAACCCCCGCGUGCAGUUGCUAACAGAUAACGCUGAGGACUCUGCACGGACUGCCGGCGCAAGCCGCGAGGAAGGCGGGGAUGACGUCAAAUCAGCACGGCCCUUACGUCCGGGGCGACACACGUGUUACAAUGGGUGGUACAGCGGGAAGCCAGGCGGCGACGCCGAGCGGAACCCGAAAUCCACUCUCAGUUCGGAUCGGAGUCUGCAACCCGACUCCGUGAAGCUGGAUUCGCUAGUAAUCGCGCAUCAGCCAUGGCGCGGUGAAUACGUUCCCGG
rnacentral:rRNA from 1 species